UAACAUCACAAGAAAGAGCACUCCAUCGAUUCAGUUUAUUGCAAAACAGAUCAUAUUCCCAUCAUCUUUUACCUAAAAGAUACAAACAUUGUUGUCAAAUUUAGUAAAUGAAGAAAAACAAUGGAAUAAAAUUUUGCCACAGUAAAAUAUAAUGCAAUUGCAAUUAUGAAAGUUUUGAUUAUUGGAAAAAAAACAUGACCGUCUCAUACUAAGCCCUCCAGAUAUAUUAACAAGUUAUCUCUGACAUAUAACAUUUUAUAAUGCAAAGUUACAUUUGCAAGGUUAAUCUUUUGUCUUUUCAAAAGAGAACUUGUUGGAAAGGACACCUUAUAGUCGUCUUGUACAUAUUCUUCCGCACUGUGUCCAUUCCCCAGAAAAAGAUGCCUAUCCCUCACGACAGAAUUUUCAAUUGCUACAAUCACAGCAUGUUGUAAAGGAUGCCAAGAACCAGAACACGUAUGUAAUUCAUGUUCAAACCAGCUCCAUGGACGUAAACAAGAAACACCAUUGUAAGAAUGCUUUGUGUCCUUGGAUGAACAUGAACAUCUUGAAAGAAAUGACUGACAAUUUUUGGCUUUGAUGAAAUUAAAUUGAGCUGCUUCUGGAAAGUUGCAUGCUGCUUUCUUUUAUGGAAGUAUUACAAGAUAGGACUUAGUCAUGUGAGCUUGCUAUGACCUGCAUAGUUGAAGGAUCCACAAUGACAGCAGCAUUCACGACCUGAAAGAGUGAGUUUAUAAAAGACCAACAACCAAUCCUAAGUACAAGUAUCUUCGAAGAUAAAAAGCAAAGAAAAAGGCAUAGGAUGGACAAUAGGUCACUCAAUAUCUAUAACCAGAAUGUAUAUAUAUGCGUGCAAAAUCAGCCAGCACGCUCUAGCAGAAUAUCUUAAACAGUUUAAGCUGCACUGCUAAGCCCUUUUAAUGGCCCUUUCACGUAGAUCUUCCAUUACAUUUGAAUAAACACAUUGAAAAAUUACAAGUGAAGUUCUCUCUUUUACCUAGGAUUUCAUCUCAUUUCUCACAAAGGCACAAUGAUAAUGCGGCAUACAGAAGAUAAUUUCACUUCAUUUAUCAUUCACAGAUUCACUCAGAUUUAUAAUUUCAUACCUUUUCCAUUUCGACAUGUCUAAAAUAAUUUAUCUGGAAACUAGUAAAUUACAACUCUAAUGGAAUUUCAAGCAAUAAAUGUGAAAAGGAGAUAAAUUCAUUUCAAAUACGGCACCAAAGUAGAAUGUAUUUAAUGAUACAAAGGCAUCCAGAAAGCAUUAGGUAGUUACCGAGCUAACACCAGAUUUUGCCAAACCAACUGCAUAUGUCAUGAAGCUGGAAACUGAUUCCGAAUCGUCUUUACUAAAUCCAGUUAUGCCAUCGAUAUUGCUUCGGUCGAAAGACAGUUAGGUGACUCGCCGGACUCGGCAGUCGACAGGCGGCAGCACAACCAGCACUCAGCAGAAGCAGACGCCAGAAGAAGGGCCAAGGAAGAUAAGAUUCGUGGUGAACUCACCGUCUCACCGUCGCCGUCACUCACCGGACGCCCGGACUGUGUCAAUGUUGAGA
rnacentral:lncRNA from 1 species